CCUCGGGUGGCUGCAGUGGGGAAUAUUGGACAAUGGGCGAAAGCCUGAUCCAGCCAUGCCGCGUGUGUGAAGAAGGCCUUCGGGUUGUAAAGCACUUUCAGUGGGGAAGAAAGCCUUGGGGCUAAUACCCUCGAGGAAGGACAUCACCCACAGAAGAAGCACCGGCUAACUCCGUGCCAGCAGCCGCGGUAAUACGGAGGGUGCGAGCGUGAAUCGGAAUUACUGGGCGUAAAGCGCGCGUAGGCGGUCUGAUAAGCCGGUUGUGAAAGCCCCGGGCUCAACCUGGGAACGGCAUCCGGAACUGUCAGGCUAGAGUGCAGGAGAGGAAGGUAGAAUUCCCGGUGUAGCGGUGAAAUGCGUAGAGAUCAGGAGGAAUACCAGUGGCGAAGGCGGCCUUCUGGACUGACACUGACGCUGAGGUGCGAAAGCGUGGGUAGCAAACAGGAUUAGAUACCCUUGUAGUC
rnacentral:rRNA from 1 species